UCCACUCUGCCAUCUGCACUCAGCUGUGUUACAGAUAUGACACCUUCCGCCUUAAUGGGAGCUGACAGGCAGGAGAGGAGGCCUGUGGAAAAUAGCUUCCUGUGUGUGCACUUCCACCUCGCAUAGUGCCAGCAGAUGACAACAUAAAAAGGAGAUAAACAGAUGGAAGUAACGAAGUCAACCUCAGUGGAAUUCCCUAUUGAGAUCUUGGAAUUUUUUUAAGACAGAAAGAGACUAAUAUGACAUAUGGAGGAAUGGGAAUUAGGGAGCAUUAGCAACAGGAAGUGAUUGGGACAAACAAUGUAUUCCCCAUCCAGAGCCCUUUUAAAAAGUUGAAUCUGUAGUUAAGCUUUCAUAUUUUUUCUGUUUGUUUGUUUGUUUUAAACAAGUAUCUGCACUUCCACCUUCACCUGGAGCUUGAGUCUGUCAACCUGCAUUGCACAACAUUGAAAAAUACCCCGUGAGCCUUCAACAAGUGGAAUGCCAUUUUCAGCAAGUGACAAACUAGCAGCUCACUGAGAUGGAUAAUAACAUGUGGAUUUUGCUGCUGCAUAGUUUAUACUCCACCAAUGUACAAAGCAUAUUUUUGUCUAUCAAAAUAAAUCAAUCAGA